GAUGAACGCUGGCGGCGUGCCUAAUACAUGCAAGUCGAGCGAACAGACGAGGAACUUGCUCCUCUGACGUUAGCGGCGGACGGGUGAGUAACACGUGGAUAACCUACCUAUAAGACUGGGAUAACUUCGGGAAACCGGAGCUAAUACCGGAUAAUAUAUUGAACCGCAUGGUUCAAUAGUGACAGACGGUUUUGCUGUCACUUAUACAUGGAUCCGCGCCGCAUUAGCUAGUUGGUCAGGUAACGGCUUACCAAGGCAACGAUGCGUAGCCGACCUGAGAGGGUGAUCGGCCACACUGGAACUGAGACACGUUCCAGACUCCUACGGGAGGCAGCAGUAGGGAAUCUUCCGCAAUGGGCGAAAGCUUGACGGAGCAACGCCGCGUGAGUGAUGAAGGUCUUCGGAUCGUAAAACUCUGUUAUUAGGGAAGAACAAAUGUGUAAGUAACUAUGCACGUCUUGACGGUACCUAAUCAGAAAGCCACGGCUAACUACGUG
rnacentral:rRNA from 1 species